rnacentral:rRNA from 1 species
GAUGAACGCUGGCGGCGUGCUUAACACAUGCAAGUCGAACGGUGAAGGCGGAGCUUGCUCUGCUGGAUCAGUGGCGAACGGGUGAGUAACACGUGAGCAAUCUGCCCCUGACUCUGGGAUAAGCGCUGGAAACGGCGUCUAAUACUGGAUACGAGCUGCGAAGGCAUCUUCAGCAGCUGGAAAUAAAUGCGGGCAGGGAUGAGCUCGCGGCCUAUCAGCUUGUUGGUGAGGUAAUGGCUCACCAAGGCGUAGACGGGUAGCCGGCCUGGGAGGGUGACCGGCGACCAUGGGACUGCGGCACGGCCCAGACUCCUACGGGGGGCAGCGGUGGGGAAUAUUGCACAGUGGGCGCACGCCUGUUGCAGAAACGCCGCGUGUGGGAAGCCGGCCUUCGGGUUGUAAACCUCUUUUAGCAGGGAAGAAGCGAAAGUGACGGUACCUGCAGAAAAAGCGCCGGCUAACUACGUG